UUCUGAAAAAAAAUCGCUUUCCUCACCUCAGCUAGCUAGCAACCACUAGCUUAGCUGCGUAAAAAACCUGCCGUUGCGUUAAAUAUAACGUCUACAUAACGCGCGUGAUAUUUAUUUGCGCUCAACUCUACUGCUUCCGGCUGAACAAUGCGAGGGAACGAUCAAAAUAAAGGCUGGAAAUCAUGCCUCAAGUGCAGGCUACACUCUUCAGAGAGAGAGAGCAAAAGAGAUCAAGUUGAACCUACAUCACCCCCGACUACAAUAUCACGGACAUUUCGAGUUAAAACACGCAAACUCGUGUGUAAAUGUGUCUAACACACUCGCCGCGGAGGGUGAUCGUUCCCCGGAUGUUGCUCCAUGCACGCCGGGGAAUGCAGAUGUCGGUAGCCGAAGAGGUGGCACUCGGAGCCGGGCAGGGGCAGGACCCUCGACCCUGGGAGACCCUCCGGCGAGCUGGCGGCGACACGCGGGAAAAGCAGCGCAGGCAGGCGACGAGCCUCGCUCUGACUGGCGGAGAGGGGGAGUGAGUCUAGACCGCAGUGUAGGAAGAAAGGACUGCCACUGGGGUCAGAGAGCAGCGACGAGAGCAUAGCCUCCGUACUAGUAUGGCGGAGCGAGUAUGUGUGUGAGUGUGUGUGUGGUUACUCCUCCCCUCCCUCAGAAGAGUCUGCCAUGAUACGCGUUCACACGUGGAGAGGAGAGAACCUCUUCUGCUGCUUAUUUUCGGGUCUUUCUGCAGUGUCCUUUGUUUUGAGGGUUAAAAUUUAUCGCACUGUUUUAAUCAAACCUGAGAGGACAUAAAGUACCUUGAGGAAGUGCUAAAUUAGUUUACAUUUUAAAGAAGAAACUAUCCUUUACACUGUGUGUAAGAUCUGUAGGUCAGGGUCUUUGUUACUGUCAAAAUCAAGUGAUGUUUGCAAACUUUUCAAUCUAUGACUGACUAAAAAGGUUCUUGCUUUCAUUUAUUUUGUAGGGUGAAGUCAUGUAAAACAGGCUACUUUUUUUUAUUACAGCCGCAUUUUCCACACUGCUCUUUGCUUUAUGUCGGGUUCCUUCUGUCAUUUUAUGUUGAAAAUAUGUAACAAAAAGCACAAGAGUUACUUCAAUAUCUCAACUCUGCUGUGUUCAUGGUAAAAUGCGAUCAGAGAAUUAAACCCUCUUUUUAUUGAAUACAGUUAUUCCUGAUUUAAAGUCGGGAUUAAAUGAAAUCGCGACAUAUAUUUGAGUGAAACAGCUUCUCAAACAAGAAUAAAUGUAGUCGCGGGACUUGAA